rnacentral:rRNA from 1 species
CCUACGGGAGGCAGCAGUGGGGGAUAUUGCACAAUGGGGGAAACCCUGAUGCAGCGACGCCGCGUGGGUGAAGACGCGCCUCGGCGCGUAAAGCCCUGUCAGCAGGGAAGAAAAUGACGGUACCUGAAGAAGAAGCCCCGGCUAAAUACGUGCCAGCAGCCGCGGUAAUACGUAGGGGGCAAGCGUUAUCCGGAUUUACUGGGUGUAAAGGGGGCGCAGACGGCGAUGCAAGCCAGGAGUGAAAGCCCGGGGCCCAACCCCGGGACUGCUCUUGGAACUGCGUGGCUAGAGUGCAGGAGGGGCAGGCGGAAUUCCUGGUGUAGCGGUGAAAUGCGUAGAUAUCAGGAGGAACACCGGUGGCGAAGGCAGCCUGCUGGACUGCAACUGACGUUGAGGCCCGAAAGCGUGGGGAGCAAACAGGAUUAGAUACCCUUGUAGUC